AAAAAAUGUUUAUUUAGUUAAUUUUUUUUUCAAAUAUAAUGUCAAAUAAAAAAAUAUCGCAUAUUUUGUUUCUGUUUAAAAAAUAAAGGAAAAACUUCAAAAAUCCCUCUUGUGGUUUCACUCUUUUUCACUUUAAUGCCCCGUGGUUUAAAGUUAUAAAGUGUAUCAAGUUAGUACCCUAUGGUUUCGUACUUUCUCAAUUUAGUAUGUACCCUGCGAUUUCAAGUGUAUCAAGUUAGUACCCUAUGAUUUCGCACUUUUUUACUUUAGUACCAUGUGGUUUAAUAUUUCAUUAAGAUAAAAAUAAAACUAUAGGGUUUAAACUUGAUACAAAAAUAAAACCACAGAAUACUAACUUGAUACACUUUAAACCACAGGGUACUAUAGUGAGAGCGUGCGAAACCACAGGGUACUAACUUGAUACACUUUAAAUCAAAAGGUAUUAAAAUUAAAUAGUGCAAAAUCACAGAGGAUUUUUUGAAGUUUUUU
rnacentral:lncRNA from 1 species